UGAAAAUAAACCCUACCCCCAAUCCCUGUCUUCCCCGCCUCUCAGGCCUCCUCUUCCCCCUUUUUCUUUUCUCUAUAAAGCUGGUAGACAGAUUAUAUAUUGUUAGAGUGGUCCAUGGAACUUUGGAUGGCCAUGCUCCUUCUUCUUUUCCUCUGUCUCUCUUCCUUUUCAUCAGUGCUCAGUGUUUUUAGGUCAGAAGGACUCAGGACAAAGGCUUCCCUGAUGAUUUGAGAGUUCUUUUUUUUUGAGAUCUGAGGGUCAAGCAAUUUCAGUGGGACGGUUGAUUUUCUUUUUCUUUUAUUUGAAAGUUCUGGUCAUGCUUUUCCACAGCUUUCUUGAACUUUCUCGGUGUACUUACUCCAUCUUUAACAUGUUAGCUAUAUAUAGCACACCGUGGAAGCUCAAGAAAGCUGUGGGAGAACAUGGCAAUUCAGGACUUAUUGUUCUUGUUUCAGCUAGCUACAUUGAAGACCAAGAUUUCUGCAGCAAAAAAAAAAAAAAAAACUCCAUUUCUCUUUUGUGUGCAUACAGAUCAUGCUUUCCCACAGAGAAAAGAUUUCUGAUGCUGAAUUACAAGUUAUGGCUAGAGAGGAUAGACCAAGUUGAUAGCAGAAGUAGCAUACAUGCGGAAACAGCAUUGGUGGACAGCAGAAUAACAUCCAAGGAACUUGAAGUUUAUCUACCUCACAAGCACCUCUUAUUCUCAACUACUUCCCUUUUUUUUUUUUGCUUUUCCAUUUUUCCUUUUCUGUUCCUUUUUGGUUUUUCUAGAUUUCAACCAAUUAUGUUCUAGCAAGUAACAAGAACAUCAAAACAGUGGGACAUUUAUAAAAAUGCUCACUCAUUCACCAAUCCCGGGCAAUAGCUUUAAUUUGCCUUGAAAAUUAAUUUUUUUUAUUAUUAUUAU